AGCCAAAAAGCAGAUUUUGAUUCCUUUUAACAGUGAUGAGGUUUGGGGAAGUGAGAGAGAAGGAAGGAAGGGGAAAUUCAUUGUGUCACCAAAAUAAGAAAGCAGAGUGGGAGCCAGUUUGUGAUACCGAAGGGGAAAGGGGCUGGCAGGAAGAAGAGGGGGAUGAGAGACAGCAACAGGAGGAGAGAGCACUUUGUAAACAGUGAAAAGAAACAGAAAAGAAACAGGAGAUGGGCCUGACUGGGAGUGGGAGGAGGAUUGCGAAGGCCUCACAGACAUGCAUCAGGGUUAACUUUCUCCUGGGACAUAGGGCAUGAAACUACCAAGCCUCCAUUCUAAUGACCGGAAGUACCCAAUCUGACAAGCGGUUCAAGCAGUGCCAAACAGGCAAGUGCCUGCCCAGACCCUCUGAAGACUGGAGCCCAGCAGGGAUGAAUGAGGGGUCAUGGUAUCAGCCACCAUGAGUCCAGCAUGAAUCCACCAUGAGUCCAGGAGGUGGCACUCAGAAAUGGAAUGCAGCCAUUUCUGGCAGAAGUGCUUGGGACCUGGCUCAGAAGACCCCCCAGGAAGCCAAGGCCCUGCCACCUACCUACCACGCAGCCAAGCAUGCACUCUCCUGUCUGUGUGUGCAAAACCUGAGACAGCACAGUCUUUCCCAGGAAAUCAGCAUCAGCCUAUGUGAAGCACGAGAAGCCGCUCAUAAAUCCAACUACAGGCACAGGCUUGACAGCUGGUUCUUUACAGGGACAACCAGGACAGCCCACAGGCAUGGGUUCCCAUGCUUAGCGUUCUCAGGGGAAGAUGUGCCCCAGCCCUGCCUCCAUUCCCACACCAGUUUUACCAUGUCUGGGAGCCGGCACUGGCCCUGUUGCCCACAGGGUGUGCUACCCUGGCAUCUUCCUGGAGAUUAGAGAGAUUUCAGCAGGCUAUGAUGAGGCAUUCUUCCUGCUCUGGGUACUCAGUAAGCAUUUCCCAAGCACCUUCACCACUGGGACCAACCCUGCAUGAGGCCAAAGGUGGCUCACAGUUCAUGGAUGGCCAGUUCCUAGGCCAGCCCAGCUUGACAUGGGAAUUCGGACUAUAGGGUCUGAUUCUGGAGUUCAGCAGAGCAGUGUGCCUCUGCGUUGACACACAGCCUGGGCUAGCAGGCUCUUGGAGAGAUCUGGCAGGAUAUACAGAGCACUUAUUGGUCCCCAGAGAACCUGUAGCUGCACCCUCCAUCCCCCACCCAAACUUGCUGAAAAUGCAAAUUUGCAGGUCUUGCUAUGAAAUGCUUUCUCACUUUAGUCCAGUUUUGCUUCUAUAACAAAGUGUCAUAAACUGCACAGCUUAUAAACAAUAGAAGUUUACCCUCACUGUUCCCAAGUCUAGAGGUGGCUACCAGAGCGUUACAUGGUCAGUUUGGGUACGGACGCUCUUCAAGGCUGUAAUGACUGACUUCUCUAAAAAGAGGGUGGGAGAGCUCUCUGUGGGCACUUUCUUAUUAUCUUAUGGGGGGGGCUCUGCUUUUGUGACCUCAUCGAAGGCCCUACCUGGUAAUAAUAUCAUGUUGGGGCUUAAGAUUUCAACACAGGAAUUUGGGGGAUACCUUCAGUCCAUAACAUCUACUGAGACAGAGUUUGUACAGCUCCACUGUCCCAUCCUGAUACACGUGGACAUUUGAGCGCCACAAAUACAGAAACAACAGUGUCCCGGGAUGAACUUCACCUACUGAGGCUGGAGACUGAGAGUUUGGAGGAAGCCGACUUGAGUGACAGCUGGGAGCAUGAACUCACAGCUGCUCAGCAAGGAGCGGAGCAGCUUCUGUCUUGGAGAAGUCCCACCCACAGGUCUGCAACACAAUCUGGAAACCUCCAGGACAAGCUGGGAUAGCCUGCUACACCAAGCAAGCAGCCUUUGACUUUGCAAGUUUCUCUCUCUGGCUCAGGUAAAAUCUGUGCAGGCUGGGCAACUCUUUACGGUCGAGCACUCCUCGAAGUGCCGGAUGGGUCAGGGUGCUUGGAUCUGGACGUAAGAAACUGUUGGUGGGAGAGACGGUUCUGUGGUUAAGAGCUCUCAUGGGUGGUUCCCAGCACCCACGUGGUAGUUCACAGACAUCCACAAAUCUAGUUCCAGGGAAUCUGAUGCCAUUCUUUUGACUUCCUAGGGCAUCAGGGACACAUAUAGGGCACAUGCAAAAAGCAGGCAAAAACACACACACAAUAAUUUUUAAAAGAAAGAAAGACAUUUUUGGUAAGCAUUGGUAAAGGGGGAAGAGGACACUGGGGAAAACACAGGGACAUUCCACUGCUUCAACCCAUAAAUGUGACACGUCAUAUUUCUUGCCACUCAGCCCUUGCUCGAUUCAAUGAGUGUGGGUCUCCUGGAGAUGUAGGAAUGUAGGAAUGGCAGGAGAGGCCCUGGGAACAUUUCUCCCUAGGGCCAUGCUUCUGUGUAAGGAGACCAAGAUGAAGAAGGAAAGAUAUGUGUGAGGGUACCUUGUGUGUGUCGGGGAGGGGAGAGUGGAUUACUACAAAUUCUUUCCCAAAUUGAGAUCUGACUUCUCUCUAAUUCUCUGGUUCUGAAAACGCAUUAAGUUUCCAAGUGGGUCUAACUUUUUCUCCUAGGAGGUUCUGUGCUUCUGGGAAUAAGUCAGCGCUUACCAGUGUCAUGGCAGCCGCUCCAGGCCCCUGGGCUCUGGGUUGGUGGGAAGCAGGAUCCAAAGCAGAAGAGCUGGAGUACGGGGUGGGGAGUUCCCCGGGCUGGAGGCAAAGUCUGGGUUCUGGUUUGCCAGGCCUGGCCCAGAUGAGAAGCUGCGGCUGUGAGAAUCUGGGGGUGGGGUAGGUGGGGGGAAUCAGUCCUCCCUCCUCGCUGGGCUGAAAAAGAGAGAUAUAACUAUUGCCCUGUGGAAAAAAAAAAGUAGAUCCAAGUCCAUAAUCCCAGCCCAGUUCUGGCCCCUGACUCUGUAGUUUUAUAAGGCAGUAGCUAGCAUGAAUAAGGCCUCGACUGACCUCCUGGAACAACUCCCACUUUAUUGCUUUUGUUCAGUAUGAGAAUGUGCCCCCCCCCACAUACCUACCCCCUCAUCCCCCACCACCCACCCCUAAUACCCACACCCAACCCCAUCCCCCAACCACAACUACCCCAUCACCACCAGCCCUCAACCCCCUCCCUCAACUCCCUCACUAACCCCACCCCACACCCCCAUCUGGGCUGAAACCCAGAGAAACAAGUAGGAAAGACACUGGAGGGAUUGAGCAAGCACCCACAACUCCUAAGCCUAGCAGCCACGGCUGUCCCCAAGAAAAGGAGGGGUCACCAUGGCCCAGCUUGGCCUAGACCCUGGAGCACUCUGUGCCACUCUUCUCUUGCUCCAUUCUAGUUAAGAUGUCAGCAUCAUGGGAACUCCAGUGGAGAAAUUCCUAAUGGGGUCAGAGCCCUGGGCACUAACAUCAAAUGCUUCUUCCUCCUCAUGGGGACAGAUGGGAUUAAUGGCCAUUGUUCCAAGGCCCUGUGCAUUAAGACAAGGAGCCCUUUGCUGAAAGAUAAAUGGCAUAUCUACCCCGAGGGAGGAUGAAUUGCACUGAUAAUUCCCUUGAUUAAAGCCCAUUUAUUAAAGAU